CGCCCCAUCAGAGAGGAAUUUACCUCCAGAGCUUGUUAACUCAGGGAACAAAAACUAGAUUAAAACAGUCCAGGCAUGCAAGAGGAAGACUGUGGAAGUUUCCAAGGCCAGUGGACCCACUGAGAAUCCCAGAACAACCUAUUUCCAUAAAUUGAGGCCAAGUAUGAUAAGAAGAUGAAGAUGCUGAGGGACGAGCUCGACCUGCGGAGAAAGACUGAGCUCCAUGAAGUGGAGGAGAGGAAGAAUGGCCAGAUCAACACGCUGAUGCAGCGCCACGAGGAGGCCUUCACUGACAUUAAGAACUACUACAAUGACAUCACCCUCAACAACCUGGCCCUCAUCAACUCCCUCAAGGAGCAGAUGGAGGACAUGCGGAAGAAGGAGGACCACCUGGAGAGGGAGAUGGCAGAGGUGUCUGUGCAGAACAAGCGCCUGGCAGACCCUCUCCAGAAGGCUCGGGAGGAGAUGAG
rnacentral:sRNA from 1 species